UUUAACAUUUAAUAAAAACCAAUUUAAAUGAAAAACUAGAAGGGAACCAAGAUAACGUGAAAGCAAAAAAAAAAAAAAAAAAAGCCGAGAAGGAGCAGAAAGGCAGGGGAUGUUCUUUGCAUUUAUCAGGGGGUUUAUGUUACUUUUUUUUCUUAAUGCGGGAGAGUUACUUUUCUGUUCCCUUGAACCCCAAGCGGGCUCUGCCUCCCUGGGCGAGGGGGGGUGGAGACUCAGGGGCCCUGGGGCCAGGUGAGCCUCUGGUCACUGCCAGGUCCCUGGAGCCUCUGGAUGGGUGCCCCAGGAACGCUGGGCAUGCUCGGUGGCUUUCGAGCCGGCGCCACCCAGCAUUGAUGGGGCAAUUGUAGGCCUCCAGGUGACCCUAGAGUCCUUUGUCCCUCCUGUCCGAAAGGUGCCUGGAGGGGAUGCACUGGGGCUUGCCCAGCCCCCGGGUUCCCAGCCCUUAAUGGUCCUUAACCCACUGUGAUGACUUCCUAGGCCUUGAGGAAGGGAAGGAGAGGGGGUGGCUGCUGGUGGCUUGCGGAGAUGGCAGACACCCCGGAAUCCUCAGGGUGAGUCCCUUGGGGUCACCACCCCAAGCUCCCGUCCUUCGGGGCAGGAGAUGCCCACCCCCCGGGGGAUAAAAAGCAGCUCUCCCUCCUCACCCCUCACCUCAGGGCCACCCGAUGACCCUGGGGCGAUGGUGGACCCCCAGACUCAUAGGCCCCCAACCUCCAGGGACAGGGGCUCAUUGACCCUUUGGGGGUUCUUGGACUCACUGAAGCCCCCUUGGGGCCCAGCAGGUCCAACAAUGACAUUGCAAAAAGGUUUCUUUUUACAAAAGAAAAAGGAAAAACAAGUGGUGAUUUUUUUUAAUAAAAAAACCACAGACUAUAAAUAAAUGUAAAUAUAUAAUAAGUGGAUUUACUUGCAAGAAAAUCAGAUAGUAUUUUUCUUUUAAUUCUUUUCCAGCUUUAAACUGUGAAAACAAAAAAUGGGGUGGGGUGGGGGACUUAAAAUUUAGCAGGGAACUUGUAAAGAGAAAACAGAACAAAUAUAUAAGUCCAUUUUUUUUAAAAAAAAAAAAACUAUGGUGAGAGAUUAGAGCUGGGCUUAAAGCCGGCGGGAGAGGAGAAAGGCCCUUGAGAGCUGCGAAAGUCUCUUUGGUGAAAAAUCUCUUCCUUCUACCAGGAAGGUGCUGCUAAUGUGGGAGAGAGAGAGAGUAGUGAUCAGGAAUCUGGUCUACUCAAAGGAGAUCGCACCCCCCUCUCACACUCACACACACAGACACGGUCCCCGAGCCCAGCACUAGAAUCGCUCACAGGGGUACACCCUCCAUCUAAAGCCUUCCAUCCUCACACGCAGCCAGAGGCAGGGCUCCGAAAAGACUAACUCGUGCGCUCCAAAGCCAUUGACAACAAUAGCAGCUCCAUACUAGCCUUCGUGCUCACGCGUGCCCUCCCACCCCGCCAUGUGCAAGCACACACGCGCACGUACACACUCCACACGUGCAUGCAUGGAAAGGGCACCAGGCUAGAAUCCAGCUUUGGAUUCUGGAAUCCCCUGCCGCGUGGCGUCUCUGGGCCUCAGUUUCCCCCUAUGUAAGCAUGUGGAUUGACCCAGAUGAACUCCAAAGACCCAUUCUUAUUCUUGGUGUCGAUGACUCUUAAGACCUGCCACCUGCCCAGAGGAAGAUGCCAGGGAUGACCGAAAUAGCUGCCAUCCAACCCCCAGACAUGGAGAAUAUUCCCAAAUCAUCCGUCAGGCGCACACACACACACACACACAUCUCAUAUGCCUCCUCACUGUGCUCCCAACCCCCUGCCCCCACAUCCAGUGUCAAAGCAAAAAUACACACAUGUGAGCAACCGCAUCCUGCCAUUCAGACAGAGAAAGAAAAAGCCCCAGAAGUCCCCAAAGCCGCUCUUCCUUUCGUGUCCCCCUUCUUAAAUGCCGUAACCCAGUCACAGAGAGGGAAGGGGGCUUCCUUGAGAGAAGACGUCAGCCACCAGGCUUCCCCUACUGUCUUGGGGGGUCAGAAAAAGGGGAUCCUCUGAGGUUUGCUGGGAGGGGUUAAGGCUGAGGGGAUGGAGAAGAGAGCUUUACAAGGUUGUGUCCCAGGUUGGGGACCGACCCCCAAAGUUAAAGUCACACCACGGACUAAAGUCUGGGGCGCCCUGUGUUUCUCCCCCUUUCUUCCCAGAGUGACAAGGGUCAGUUCAAACUGAGAGAAACCCAACGGCUUUCCCGAGCUUGAGUUUCAGCCCAGACUGGGAGUCACUCUGCUGAAGGGAGGGGCCCCUGCAACACCCCGCGCCCCACCCCCCCCAGCAAGACUUGGGUCAGCCUCUUUCUUGACACUGACCUCUCCCGCCCUCUGAAAUCUCUCAAGUUGAGCUCUCUGGGGAGUUUGGAGGAGUGGGGAGCUCUUGGGGCUCCCACACUCCUAGCUGCCCUUCCCGACUUUAGUCUGGGAAAGGAAAGCUCUUUUCUCAGGUCAGCUGCAAUCCUAAACUCAGCCUGAACCACAAGGCAGAACCUCUGCCAGCCCAGCGCAGAAGUGCACCGAGGCCCCCGGGGGCCAGGGCAGAGCUGGGGGGCCAGCGUCAGGAGUGGUGGCGACCCAGGUCUUCUCAGUCUGGGCAGGAAUGGCAAUCUCUCCCUCCUCCCUUCAACCUUGCCCACCGCCCCCUCCCCCAGAUUACAAGGCUGAAAGGAUCGAGGCCCCAAGAAAACAGCAAACGAGUGGGCGCUGUCCAGAGGGGAAACCUGGCCCCAAGUCUCUGAGUUCUGGUGGAGCGUAUAGGGUGGCAGUCGGCGCUUCCUUCCGGACCACAGGCCUGGGUCCCUCGUCUGCUUGAAGAAGGCCAUCUGGGUGUGGGGGGAGACCAGCAUGGCCGAGAAAGGGCUAGGGGGCCUGGUGGGAAGGGGCUGGGGUCGGGACGGCAAGGGCGCUGCUUGCCAGGGUGGACUAUUGCUCAUGUCCAGCUCAAACCAGUUCAAGAAACCAACCUCCAUUUCCUUUUCUUGGUGGGUCCUUUUUUUUUUUUCAGACUGUUAACAGAAAAAAAUUUUAAAAAGCAGAAAACUGAAAAAAGAAAAAAAAAAGAAAAAAU
rnacentral:lncRNA from 1 species